AGUGAACGCUGGCGGUAGGCCUAACACAUGCAAGUCGAACGGCAGCACAGUAAGAGCUUGCUCUUACGGGUGGCGAGUGGCGGACGGGUGAGGAAUACAUCGGAAUCUACUUUUUCGUGGGGGAUAACGUAGGGAAACUUACGCUAAUACCGCAUACGACCUACGGGUGAAAGCAGGGGAUCUUCGGACCUUGCGCGAUUGAAUGAGCCGAUGUCGGAUUAGCUAGUUGGCGGGGUAAAGGCCCACCAAGGCGACGAUCCGUAGCUGGUCGGAGAGGAUGAGAGGCCACACUGGAACGGGGACACGGUCCAGACUCCCAAGGGAGGGAGGAGUGGGGAAUUUUCGGAAAGGGGGGGGAGCCUGACACAGCCCAGCCGGGGGGGUGAAGAAGGUCUUCGGGUUGUAAAACCCUUUUUUUUGGGAAGAAAAAAUGGCGGGUUAAACCCCGCCUUUUUGACGGUACCCAAAGAAAAAGCCACGGCUAACUUCGUG
rnacentral:rRNA from 1 species